rnacentral:rRNA from 1 species
UACGUAGGGGGCAAGCGUUGUCCGGAAUCAUUGGGCGUAAAGAGCGUGUAGGCGGCUCGAUAAGUCCGCUGUGAAAGUCCAGGGCUCAACCCUGGAAGGCCGGUGGAAACUGUCGGGCUAGAGUCCGGAAGAGGCGAGUGGAAUUCCCGGUGUAGCGGUGAAAUGCGCAGAUAUCAGGAGGAACACCGGUGGCGAAGGCGGGUUCUGCGUAG